rnacentral:rRNA from 1 species
UACGUAGGGUGCGAGCGUUGCCCGGAUUUAUUGGGCGUAAAGCGCGCGUAGGCGGUAGGCCAAGUCUGCUGUGAAAUCGCCCGGCUCAACUGGACGCAGUCGGUGGAAACUGGUCAACUGGAGGACGGUAGAGGCGAGUGGAAUUCCCGGUGUAGUGGUGAAAUGCGUAGAGAUCGGGAGGAACACCAGUGGCGAAGGCGGCUCGCUGGGCCGGACCUGACGCUGAGGCGCGAAGGCGUGGGGAGCGAACGGG